GUAGGUGGCAAGCGUUGUCCGGAAUUAUUGGGCGUAAAGCGCGCGCAGGCGGUCCUUUAAGUCUGAUGUGGAAGCCCACGGCUCAACCGUGGAGGGUCAUUGGAAACUGGGGGACUUGAGUACAGAAGAGGAAAGCGGAAUUCCAAGUGUAGCGGUGAAAUGCGUAGAGAUUUGGAGGAACACCAGUGGCGAAGGCGGCUUUCUGGUCUGUAACUGACGCUGAGGCGCGAAAGCGUGGGGAGCAAACGGGAUUAGAUACCCUGGUAGUCCACGCCGUAAACGAUGAGUGCUAAGUGUUAGGGGGUUUCCCGCCCCCCUUAGUGCUGCAGCUAACGCAUUAAGCACUCCGCCUGGGGGAGUACGGCCGCAAGGCUA
rnacentral:rRNA from 1 species